UUUCCUCUCCUCCCCUCUCUGCCCCGAUGCGAUCCCGAUCUCCCCUCACUUCCUUCUCUGUUCCCUCUCUCGCGGAUCAAUCGACGCCGAGGCCAGAGGAGACUCGUCACCGGAGCUCGACGGAAAACCAGUGGAGUCACCGGAGCUCGACGAUGCCGAGGAAGACAAGCCGGAUCUGGUUGAGGGGUCCUGCUUCGGCAGAUAUUGUGGUCGAUCGCCUCUCCUCUCUGCUCGGCGGUCUCUUUUCCGACACCGGCGCCACCAGCGCCACCAGGGGAGCGGAUCGUUGGCGGCUGUGCACCUUCUUCCACUGCCGUUCACCAGAUCUUGGAGGGGAUUGGGUGUAUUCGAUGCCACUGGACCGAUUUGGCUCCAACUAGAUCGCCGGUGUGAAGGGGGCAAUUAGGGUUUCGAAGUUCUGGGCUAGGAGAAGCAUCGGAUUCCUAUGGAUUGUCCUUGUGGCCAAUCAUUGCUUUCUCCUUUGUGAUCCGAUUGAAUCCAUUGAGUGCUUGGACGUCUCCUUCUUGCUGUGAUUGAGGUAUCAGUUGAAGUGGGGAAGAAUUCCAGCAGGGCUAGCUGCGAUUCCUCUGAUCCAGCAAGGAAAAUUCCUCUCACUGUGCUCUGUGGUGUUCUUGAUCAAGCAACCCACCUUUGUUCAACAGGA